rnacentral:rRNA from 1 species
GUGGGGAAUAUUGGGCAAUGGGCGAAAGCCUGACCCAGCAACGCCGCGUGAAGGAAGAAGGUCUUCGGAUCGUAAACUUCUAUCCUUGGUGAAGAUAAUGACGGUAGCCGAGAAGGAAGCCCCGGCUAACUACGUGCCAGCAGCCGCGGCAAUACGUAGGGGGCAAGCGUUGUCCGGAAUGAUUGGGCGUAAAGGGCGCGUAGGCGGCCUGGUAAGUCUGGAGUGAAAGUCCUGCUUUUAAGGUGGGAAUUGCUUUGGAUACUGUCGGGCUUGAGUGCAGGAGAGGUAAGUGGAAUUCCCGGUGUAGCGGUGAAAUGCGUAGAGAUCGGGAGGAACACCAGUGUCGAAGGCGACUUACUGGACUGUAACUGACGCUGAGGCGCGAAAGUGUGGGGAGCAAACAGGAUUAGAUACCCUUGUAGUCC